rnacentral:lncRNA from 10 species
GGGUUUCCCUGCUAUGUUUUGUCACACAUCAUUGCUGGGAGAGUUCAGUGCUAUCCAAGUGACUCCCCCGGGAGAGGACAACUGGAAAUUUAUGCCUGGUGUCUUCCUGGACUCCGACCUAUGCACCUUUUUCCUUGGAUGAUUUUAACCUGUCUCCUUUUGCUGCAAUGAACCAUAACCAUGAGUAUAUCAGCUUUUCUAAUUUUUGUGAGUCCCUCAAGUGAAUUAUCAAACCUAAGGUAGUUUUGGGACCCCCAUCACAGAGAGUCAAACAGGGGCAGGGCAAGAAGAGCUGCUUUUCCUGGAAGGCUAAUGAGUCUGAACUUCGCCCUGGAGGUAAUCGUUAUAGUAACUCCAGGCUCUAACCUGGAGCUGACAUGAUAAGGUCAAAUGUACACCUCUAGAAGACUUCCGACUGCAGAGGGGAAUGGAUGGGGGAGCUGAGGGAGGAGAGCUGAAGCAGGAAGACCAUGGCCUGGAAAGAGAUGGCUGAACCAGUCCAGGUAAGAGCUGGUGGGCCCUUGGUAGUGGGCAGUGGCCACGGCAAAGGACUAAACUCAAGAGACAGAAAAUAGAUACAACAAGACUUGCCAGCCAAUUAGACUGUGGGGUGAGGGAGACAAGUCAAGGACGACUCCCAGAUUUCUGGCCUGGGCAAUUGGAGGGAUGAUGAAGUCAGUCACUGAAGUGAGAAAUCCUGAGUGGGGAAGCUGAUGUUCAGGGGCUUGAGGGAGGUUCUGACCCCCAAGCCCAGCCUGGUACUUUCACUGUGUUCAUUUCUACAAUUCAGGAACCAUCCGAUUGCUCUUUUUUCUCUCCUUGAAGCCAUCCCCUUAGCCCUCUGCCCACAGUGAUCACUAACUGAUUGCUCCUCCUUAAAAGCCACCGAAAAGUGUGCUUGGCUGAUCUCCCUGACCUCAAUUUCUCUGCUGGCAGAAUCACAAGAAAGGCAUCAGCACCUUCUGUGAAAUGGGGAGCCAUGCAGAGGAGGUGCCCAGGUGGCGAGGAGUCCAUGUCAGCUGCCGUCAUCCACACCACAGAUCAGACAUGGCAAAGAGUGGCCAGGCCUUCUGAGUGAAGGUGAUCCAACCUGUCACCAAGCCUAAGGGCAAAUCCUGGCUGUGCUGUGAUGGCUCCAACAACCCCAAACAGCAGCGCAGAGGCUGCAGCCGCCCUCGGAGGCAACACUGGGAAACGCUCAUUAGCAGCCUUCCAUUGCUCACCCGCCCCAUCCCACCUCUGUGCAUCCCAGAUCAUCAGCGAAGUGCACAGCUGGCUUCCAUCCUCGGAGCCUUCCUCCUUCAUUUGCCUAUUCAACAGUUACAAAGGCCUGAGUUGCAAAGGGGCUUACAACCCAUUCCACCCAGAAGAAAGAGAACUGAGACUGAGCAAGACAGAGAAUAGGUGGAAGGGGAGAUGAAACCAAGCAAUCUCUAGAUCCCAAAUGGGGACCCUGAUGUAGCAAGAGCCUCUUUUAAAUCCUUUUCCAAUAGGGUAAUAUGGAAAAUAGUUGAAAGCACAAGCCAAGUGGGGCUGGAAUCCCAAAUGGGCCAUUUACUAGCUGUGUGACUGGACAAGUAAUUUCAUAUUUCUGGGCCUCGAUUUUUCUCAUCUGUAAAA